CCUACGGGUGGCAGCAGUGGGGAAUAUUGCACAAUGGAGGGAACUCUGAUGCAGCGACGCCGCGUGAGUGAAGAAGUAAUUCGUUAUGUAAAGCUCUAUCAGCAGGGAAGAAAGUGAUGAUACUAGUAAACGAAGCUCCGGCCAAAUACGUGCUAGCAGCCGCGGUAAUACUUAGGGAGCAAGCGUUCUCCGGAUUUACUGGGGGUAACGUGAGAGUAGGUGGCAGAGCAAGUCCGAAGUGAAAUCCCAAGGCUCAACUAUGGGAAUGCUUUAGAAACUGCUCAGCUAGAGUGCAGGAGAGGCAAGUGGAAUUCUUAGUGUAGCGGUGAAAUGCGUAGAUAUUAGGAGGAACACCAGUGGCGAAGGCGGCUUGCUGGACUGUAACUGACGCUGAGGCUCGAAAGCGUGGGGAGCAAACAGGAUUAGAUACCCCGGUAGUC
rnacentral:rRNA from 1 species